CCCUUAGAUGUUCUGGGCUGCACGCGCGCUACACUGACGCACGCAACAGGUGCCUGCUCCGAGAGGACUGGGUAAGCAUUUGAGUGUGCGUCGUGAUGGGGAUAGAAUAUUGUAAUUAUUACUCUUCAACGAGGAAUUCCUAGUAAGCGCCAGUCAGCAGCUUGCGCUGAUUACGUCCCUGCCCUUUGUACACACCGCCCGUCGCUCCUACCGAUGGGUGAUCCGGUGAAUGAUUCGGACUUCAGCGGCUCCCCUGGGGUGCGCCGGAGAAAGUUUUGUGAACCUUAUCACUUGGAGGAAGGAGAAGUCGUAACA
rnacentral:rRNA from 1 species